rnacentral:misc_RNA from 1 species
AAACUGCGAUACGUAGUGUGAAUUGCAGAAUUCAGUGAAUCAUCGAAUCUUUGAACGCAAAUUGCGCUGUUGGGUAUUCCCGGCAGCAUGCUUGGCUGAGUAUCAUCUGGACUAAUCGGUAAUUUCUCUUUUUUGAGGUUUUGAUCGGAAAUGAGGAUGUCGCAUGUUUAUUAUGCGUCCCUUCAAGUCUAGCCAGGUUGGCAUGUAAAUGCACGCUAAUUUCAUAUUUAGCACAAAUCCAUGUUAAUCCCUCAGUGUGUCAAAUUGUUUGCACUCUCUUAAUCGGGAUUGCAUAACAUAACACUGUUUAACGGAUUUAACAACUGGUAUUGUGCCUCAAAACUUUGAUCUCAGCUCAAGCAAGACUACCCGCUGAAUUUAA